AUGUGGAGAAAAUAGCAGCUGCCCUCUCGGAUGAUCCGCCAAGGCCUCUUAUCAUGUGGAAUCCCCGUCUCAUCAGCGAAGAUGUAGGGGUCGGAUUUAACGUUCGAAAAUUGAGAAGAUACUUUUUAAGCACAUUUACAACAGUCUACUCCAUGAGGCCUUUGCCAUCUGGUGCUGUAUUUAGAGCUUAUCCUGGGUUGUGGAAAGUGUUCUUUGAUGAUAAAGAUAGGUCC